CGCGUAGGCGGUCCAUUAAGUCAGAGGUGAAAGCCCGGGGCUCAACCCCGGAACUGCCUUUGAAACUGGCGGACUAGAAUCUUGGAGAGGCGAGUGGAAUUCCGAGUGUAGAGGUGAAAUUCGUAGAUAUUCGGAAGAACACCAGUGGCGAAGGCGACUCGCUGGACAAGUAUUGACGCUGAGGUGCGAAAGCGUGGGGAGCAAACA
rnacentral:rRNA from 1 species